AAACUGAAGACGCAGAGGAAGAGCUGGGAGUAGGGCUGAGUAGCUGCGGAACUAGCUCGUCAGGCUUCUUUCCUCUCUACCAUGUGAGGUGGUGCCGCAAAAUCAGCUGCGUGGAAAGGGUUGGCUUUGGCUCAGUAGACUUAGGGACUGUUUCCAUCGGGGUUAGGCCUGAUCCACCUGAACGCACAGUGAAUAUCCCUCCUGGCUGUGUCACACCACACUUGGAGAAGUCACAAUUGAGACAGGGGAUAUGAAAAGAGAUGCAGUUUUCAGUUUAAAAGUUGAAUGCCCAAUUUAAUUUCUACCCAAGUAGAUGAGGUCUCACUUGAGCUGUGCCCCAGGCUCUGCAGACCAAAGGGUCGCAAGGGACCCAGACUGAUCCAGACACCUCUCUUUUCCAGGAGCCCCUGUUUGCUGCUAGAGUUAUUUAUGACCUCUUGUUCUUCUUCAUGGUCAUCAUCAUUGUUCUUAACCUGAUUUUUGGGGUUAUCAUUGACACUUUUGCUGACCUGAGGAGUGAGAAGCAGAAGAAGGAAGAGAUCUUGAAGACCACGUGCUUUAUCUGUGGCUUGGAAAGAGACAAGUUUGACAACAAGACUGUCACCUUUGAAGAGCACAUCAAGGAAGAACACAACAUGUGGCACUAUCUGUGCUUCAUCGUCCUGGUGAAAGUAAAGGACUCCACCGAAUAUACUGGGCCUGAGAGUUAUGUGGCAGAAAUGAUCAAGGAAAGAAACCUUGACUGGUUCCCCAGGAUGAGAGCCAUGUCAUUGGUCAGCAGUGAUUCUGAAGGAGAACAGAAUGAGCUGAGAAACCUGCAGGAGAAGCUGGAGUCCACCAUGAAACUUGUCACGAACCUUUCUGGCCAGCUGUCGGAAUUAAAGGAUCAGGUAAAGAAAGAAA
rnacentral:sRNA from 1 species